rnacentral:misc_RNA from 1 species
CCCUCCCCUAAAUCACUCCAAAAAAAACAAUCCCCAAUUCUACACAAGUGUUUCUACACUAACAAAGCAACAGCUCCUUAACGAAUUCCCAACUUUACACGAGCUCGUCUCUCGAGGUUAAAUGUUAUUACUUGGUAAGAUUCCGGACCUCGCCAAGUGUUUUGAAAACCCGCAACGCUCGCAAAGGUGGAUAGUGAGAAUAAUAAGUGAAGAGACAGACUUGUCCAAAACGCCCACCACGAAGGUGCAUAGUGAGAAGAGUAAGUCAAGAGAUAGACUUGUCCAAAAAGAAACGGAAGAGAAAGCGUGGGGAGACGCUCACGAAGGUGCAUAGUGAGAAGAGUAAGUCAAGAGACAGACUUGUUCGAAAAGAAACAGAAGAGAAUGCUUGGGGUUACACUCACGAAGGUGCAUAGUGAGAAGAGUAAGUCAAGAGACAGACUUGUUCAAAAAGAAACGAAAGAGAAUGCUUGGGGAGAUAGAAGUGUGAGAUAGUUCUCAAGCUAAGAAAGUUGUAAAAGCUAAGAACUAGCAAGUAAUCGUCCAGGAUUCCUCCACCAGGACUUGAAAUCGUCGAGGGAAAAAAAUCGGUUCCGAGGAAUCGUCGAUCCGGACUUGGAAUCGUCGAGAAAAGUUUACCGGGUCCGAGGAUUUGUCGACCAGGAGUGGAAAUCGUCGAGAAAAAUCUAUCGGGUCCGAGGAAUCGUCGACCAGGACGAGGAAUCGUCGACCGGGUCCGAGGAUUUGUCGACCAGGGGUUGAAAUCGUCGACCGGGUCCGAGAAUUCGUCGAC